rnacentral:rRNA from 1 species
GACGAACGCUGGCGGCGUGCUUAACACAUGCAAGUCGAACGGGAUCUCUCCGGUAGCUUGCUACCGGGCUGAUCUAGUGGCGAACGGGUGAGUAACACGUGGGCAACCUACCCUGGAGACCGGGAUAACACGGGGAAACCCGUGCUAAUACCGGAUACACUACUUUUCCCGCAUGGCAUCGGUAGAAAAGGGUGGAGCAAUCUUCCGCUCCGGGAUGGGCCCGCGUCCCAUUAGCUUGUCGGGGGGGUAACGGCCUACCGAGGCUACGAUGGGUAGCCGGCCUGAGAGGGUGAACGGCCACACUGGGACUGAGAUACGGCCCAGACUCCUACGGGAGGCAGCAGUGGGGAAUAUUGCGCAAUGGGCGAAAGCCUGACGCAGCGACGCCGCGUGCAGGAAGAAGGCCUUCGGGUUGUAAACUGCUUUUGUACGGAACGAAACGGCUCUGGUUAAUACCUGGGGCUAAUGACGGUACCGUAAGAAUAAGCACCGGCUAAC